rnacentral:rRNA from 1 species
UAGCGUAGGUGGCAAGCGUUGUCCGGAAUUAUUGGGCGUAAAGCGCGCGCAGGUGGUUUCUUAAGGUCUGAUGUGAAAGCCCACGGCUCAACCGUGGAGGGUCAUUGGAAACUGGGGAACUUGAGUGCAGAAGAGGAAAGUGGAAUUCCAAGUGUAGCGGUGAAAUGCGUAGAGAUUUGGAGGAACACCAGUGGCGAAGGCGACUUUCUGGUCUGUAACGUGACACUGAGGCGCGAAAGCGUGGGGGAGCAAACAGGGA